rnacentral:rRNA from 1 species
CACGGGGGGAGCAAGCGUUGUUCGGAUUUACUGGGCGUAAAGGGCGCGUAGGCGGCCAGCGCAAGUCAGUUGUGAAAUCUCCGGGCUUAACUCGGAACGGUCAACUGAUACUGCGCGGCUAGAGUGCAGAAGGGGCAACUGGAAUUCUCGGUGUAGCGGUGAAAUGCGUAGAUAUCGAGAGGAACACCUGCGGCGAAGGCGGGUUGCUGGGCUGACACUGACGCUGAUGCGCGAAAGCGUGGGGAGCGAACAGG